UCUCGGCUAUGAGUCAUAACGUAAACCAACUAAAAUGGCUAGUUUUGGAGGUCGUAUAUAACCCCCCAAGAGGUGGGGAUCUAAAAUUGCGAUUAUCUCAAAGAGAGAUGUACUGGAUUAGAAAGCUUAACACUGUGAACCCUAAAGGGUUAAAUGAAUCCCGGAGUGUAAAAAGCUUCUUGUGAAACGAUGCUAACACUAUUUUUAUGCCUCCUCUCUUCCAGAUAUUGACCCCUUAGCCACACAUUCAGAAUGUUUCAGAAUCCAGUUAUGCACAUUGGUGAUAGUUGAAGGUUGUCUACGAAUAAAAAUUGAA